rnacentral:lncRNA from 1 species
AAAACUGAUAAUGACCCGGCCUUCACUAGUUCUCAAUUCAAAACCUUCUGCACACUGGGAAAUUGCCCAUCAUAUGGGAAUUCUCCACAAUCCUCAGGGACAAGGAAUAAUAGAAAACACGUCAAACCUUAAAAGCCCAACUCCUAUAACAAAAGGCAACCUAUCCCCCUAAUGUACAAUUAAUGAUGGCUCUGACUACCCUAAAUAUAUUUAACAUCUACAAAAACUUCAAACAUCCUCCUAUCUUCCUCCAUUGGCAUACACCAAAAUUAGCGCCCCGCCCCCCAUUCUAGUAUGAUGGUGAGAUCCUUUGGAUGCAAUUUGGAAGGGACCAGACCCCCUCCUUACAACUGGGAGGGGUUUUGCUUGCAUCUUUCCACAGGACCAGCCUAAGCCUAUCUGGGUUCCUGCCAGAAAUGUCAGGCACCACCCCACUGACCAAGAAGAUGGCCCGCCUCUCAGUGGCAGACCAAGGACAGAAGAAGGGGAGGAGGAGGCAGAGGAAACACCACACGCAGAAGGACAAAAAAAUCUCCUGGAAGGACAUCCAUAACCUGGUGACUGCUGCCCAGGCAAUGUGCCCUUCACAAGCCCCACUCUCCUCUAUUCUCUUGGCUUUUUUGUCAUUCUUCAUGCUAACUCUAUUGUUGCCCAGCCUCUCCUUAGCCUUCAAAACACCCAUCAUUGGAGAUUCUAUGCUAGGGAAACCUACAAUGGACACAACAAAGUUAUAGGGACCCAGGACUGUCCAAUAGAAGGAUAUCGAACCAGGAUUGAGAUCCCCCUACACCCAGAUUCCAUCUCCACUACACCCAGCCCUUUUCUCUGCUUUCCUUACCAAAACACAGGUGAAUGCCUCCAGGAGGUCUCUGCAUAUGGAGGUUGCAGAUACUGGAGCUGCAGAAUGGAAUCCACCAGUCAUGGUGGCACAAUGCUCAAAAACCUUAAAACUCAUUUUCAGCUUUCAAUCGGCGAUCCAUGGGAUGAACGUUGGCAGACCGGAGUCAUGGGUAAACUUUCCCCAAAUACCCAGUUGCUGACCUGCAAAUCUCCUGUGAGCUGAGCUUGUUCCUGCCUCCAAAUCAGUCUUUACUCAUGCUAACAUUAUCCAACAGGAAAAUCAGUCUCAGAAGAAGUUGUGAGCUACCCUCUCCUGUCUACAGUAUAUCCAAUAUGCAGCUGACCUCCUUUCCUUAACAACCCAUCCUAACUCCUCUCAAUGCUUUUUCUGUGCUUCUCUCUUCUGACCAUUAUUAGCAGCUGUUCCCAUUAACAUUUCCCUUCAUGACCUCCAUGGAACCAUACCCACGAGGAAAGCACAGGACAUUCCUCUCUUUGACCUACCCCCCCCCCCCCACUUCUUUGCCUUGCAGGACCCUUCUCAAAGCCCCAUCUUACAUGUGCCCGUGACAUCACCAUUACCAAAUCAGUAUGUGUUAACCCUCCUGCCCUCCUCUGGUGCAAAGGUACUACAAGUGCCUGUAUUAAGCCCCCCUUUCAAGGCUCCUGCACCCCUGUUAUAAUUGUCCCCCAGGUUUAUCUCUACGAACCUGAAGAACUCGCCUUGCAGAUGGGAGAAAGCAGAAAGAAAAGAGAGAUCUUCAUCCUUCUACUCAUUGGACUAGGCUUUGCUGUCUCUCUGGGUGCAACUGGAACUGCUAGAGCAGCCCUCAUCCAAACACAUCUGGCCAGUGACUUCCAAGACAAGCUUGACCAGGCAAUGGCUUCCACUACAGACAGCCUUGGGUCUCUUCAACUCCCGAUAACCUUAGCAGGAGUUGCUCUCCAAAACCGGAGAGCUCUGGACUUACUGACUGCUGAACAGGGAGGAACUUGCAUUUUGCUGGGGGGAAAAUGUUUUUAUGUCAAUGAAUCUGGGCUGGUAGAACAAGAUGUACAAAUGCUCAAAGAACUCAGGGGGAACCUCCUGGCACACUAUACUCCCAAUACUCUUACCCAUUGGUACUCUAAGCACUUGCUAGCAUGGGUUCUUCCUCUCCU